CAACCACUCAAGCCUAGCUUGGUAUUGGGCAUCGUUGUGCUUUAAUUCUCUGUUAUUCAGAGAAGGCAACGUGCCUUAAAUAUAGACAGCGGCAAGUAUAAGUUCCGAGCGUAGCAGUAAAACAUUUCGCUUUAGGUAUUUUGUACAUUGUCAGCUAAAUAGUUAGCCAUGCUAUUA
rnacentral:misc_RNA from 1 species